rnacentral:rRNA from 1 species
AAUAGAUACCCUGGUAGUCCACGCCGUAAACGAUGAGUGCUAAGUGUUAGAGGGUUUCCGCCCUUUAGUGCUGCAGCUAACGCAUUAAGCACUCCGCCUGGGGAGUACGGCCGCAAGGCUGAAACUCAAAGGAAUUGACGGGGGCCCGCACAAGCGGUGGAGCAUGUGGUUUAAUUCGAAGCAACGCGAAGAACCUUACCAGGUCUUGACAUCCUCUGCCAACCCUAGAGAUAGGGCGUUCCCCUUCGGGGGACAGAGUGACAGGUGGUGCAUGGUUGUCGUCAGCUCGUGUCGUGAGAUGUUGGGUUAAGUCCCGCAACGAGCGCAACCCUUGAUCUUAGUUGCCAGCAUUCAGUUGGGCACUCGUAAGGUGACUGCCGGUGACAAACCGGAGGAAGGUGGGGAUGACGUCAAAUCAUCAUGCCCCUUAUGACCUGGGCUACACACGUGCUACAAUGGAUGGUACAAAGAGCUGCGAACCCGCGAGGGUAAGCGAAUCUCAUAAAGCCAUUCUCAGUUCGGAUUGU